rnacentral:lncRNA from 1 species
GUAUGAUUGUAAAAAAUUAAUUGUGAGGCAGUUUUUACAGACACCGUAACCUGGAAAGCUAGAGGAGGAGGAAAAUAAAAAUGGGGUGGGGCAACCUCAGAGGGAGGAUGCCCGGGUUUAGGAGAAGAGGAAAGAGCCUUCCGGAUGGGGAACCGGCAUUAUCAGCAAAGGCACAGACGUCUGCAAGAGCCAUGCAGGUUCACAGGAGGGAGAGUGAACCCCGGCUUGAUAGAGGCAGGAAUACGGAGGCCAGGACCUGCUCCUGGGGGCUGCCUGCCCUGUGCUGAAUGAUUUAUAUAUGGAAUCUCAUUGAUUUCCUCUCAUGUUUUAGAAACCCUUACGCCCAUUUUAAGGAUAAUGAAACUGUGGCUGGAUGAAGCUAAUGAAGGGAUUUAAACCAUGUCCAGAACGUGCGUCCACCCUGGCAAGUUGCAGGCAGGACUUCUGCUCCCGCCCUCUGGAUCUCCACGCGGGGCACCUCUAACAGGUCCCUGAGCUUGGUGUGUGAUCCCAACGUGGGGCACGGGUUCUCCCCAGCCUGGCACAGAGGAGCCUGCUGCCCGCAAGGACUUCCUCGCCCAGCCAGGCUUGGGCUGUUCGUGAAGCGGGAAGGAGCCCCGCAGCCCGGCACUCACACUGAGAAGACAAUGCACAUGCGCCUACUUUCCCGUUAAGGGGACACUGAGGCCACAGCUGUGGAAGGUGAAGCAGAGACAGACGAAGCCUGGAAUGGCUGAAAGGCACUUACGGCAGAAGCGCAGACGGAGACACAGGGUCAGGCUCAUGCACGCGGCUUGGCCGUGUCCGGCUCAGGGCCUGGUCCUCAUGGCCCAGGGGGCAGCUGGAGAAACAGCACAGGCGUCGUGGCCACGCGUCCUUCCCCAGCCUGGCACAGCAGGCCGUAUGAGUUUAUCUGUAAUAUCAACUACGAUGUUAACUGUUUUAUUUAUAUGCAGUUUUAUCAUACGAGUCCUUAAAAGGAGAUUCACUGUCGCCUCAGAGCACCCUGGUUUUUAUUAAUCUGGUCGCAUUCGGAGUCGUUUAGUCAGCCGCCACUUCCUGCUUAGACGCACCAUCCACAGGUGUGUCAUUAGCGUGGAGGAAUUCGAGCAGGACUGGGUUCAACUUCGCGUUUCCCAUAUUACUGAGGAUGACUCAUUUCUCAUUAAAAGACCAUCAUUGGUGAGGAUUUUUCUUGCGAUGAAACAUAUGGCUAAUUGAUUUCUCUGAUGAAGAACCUUUUCUGCUAUCAUGAAUGGCUGCUUUGAACCAUGACUGAAAGAACAGUGGCCCUCCGAGUGUCAGGGGACGCGCUGGAACCCGAGUGGCGGAGCCGUGGGCGGCCAAGAGUCAAGCGCACACACGCAGGAGGCGGGCACGUCUCAGAGGUCAAAACCUGGCCGAGAGGAGAUGCAAAGGGUUAAGAGAAAAUCUGCAGACGUUUUUUCCUGCUAAAUUUUGAUAUUGGAAACACAUCUUCCAAACGGCAUUUUUUUAGCUCUGAGUUUCUCUGGUGAAUACCUGUUUAAAAUGAGAGCCUCCAGGAGGCAGGGUGGGUGGGGAAAGAGAGACCAAGACAGAGAGAGAGAGAGAGAGAGAGAAAGAGAAAGAGAGAGAGGAAGAUUGGGAGAGGGACAGAGAGAGAAAUAGAGAAACGUUUACCAUUUAAAAAGGGGGUAGGGCUUUAUAUAUUUCUCCCCCAAAAUAUCUUCAGUCGUCACAACAAAGGUCACCAUCAUUUCUAAAUCCUUUAUAUACCACAUAAAAUGACUUUUACUCCAAAAAUCCUCCCCGAAGGAUAGUUUGUGGGUUUUUUUUUAUUAUCAUGAUCUGCGUGGCUCACUCUUUUUGCCAAUAUUGUGACCAAAUAUAAAGCAAGAGUGUCGAUUUUUUCAACCCAGAAAUACAUUUUGAAGUCCAUCAUGAAGCAGGUUGGAAGGUGCCGUUUUGAAAGCUAGACCUCCUGGGAGGCUUUCUGACCCUCAUAAUGCAGGCAAAUUCUUACAUUACUGCAUGAUAGACAUGGUAGGCUUAGGGACAGGUCCCCAUUAGGAAAUCACUAUGUCUUCAGGCAAGUUUUGCCCUUGAGUUGAAGAGGGAUGAAAACAAAGUAAAGUGGUUGUCACAAACUGUUUUGAUCUUUAAACUUAUUUGACUGUGGCACAGCAAAGCCUCAGCUUCUGCAGCCAUGUUAGAGACAUCGCUGCAGAAAAUAGUCUCACUUUAGAAUAUGCUUUCACCCUUCAAUGUUAAUAACUGCUCCUCAGCAAGACCUGUGAUUUCCUUCUCUCUUCCUCUGAUAGCCAGUCCCUUGCUCCUCAAAUCAUGGACCAGGGGCCAUCAUCAGCAUGGGCUCCACCCAGGGGCUGAUUUGACUUGCAUGGUCUCAGGCCUCCCCCAGAUCUGCAGCACCAGGGUGGGAAUUCUGAAAGGAUUUCAACUCUAGGGACCGCUGGUUCAGAGAACUCUGAUCUUGCAAUAGAGUCCGUACGCACUUAGCACCUGAAAUGUUCCCUAGUCCACAUCUCGAGUUUGGAGCAGCAAGAAUCUUCAUGGUGAAAGCUGCCAUGACAUUCUUCUGCUUGCCUGGCAAACUAAGGAGACUCUUGGCCAUAACCUUUUAUAAAGUCUUAGCUCGUCUUAUCUAAAUCCUUCUAUUAUCAAAGUUAAACUCUUCCAGCUCCCUGAUCCUUUCCUAUUAUUCUCUGAAAUGUCCAUCUCUUUUCUGCCCAACCCACUCAGCCAUGUUCUUAUGGGCCCAAGAAGGUAAGAAAGAAAGAUACUGGGAAGGGAUAGAUGUGCAAAUGAUGAAUGAGCUUUCGUUUGGAUUUAAAAGCCUGUGUCAUUAAGGAAAGGGUGGAUUUCUGGAAUCAAAGAGGGUGAGUGUUCUGUGCAUUCUCCCCAAUCAGCUGCGAUCUCUACAUCAGCAACCGGCCUUGUCACAUUGUGUUUGAAUAUGUGUGUGUUCUUCUUUCAAACAUGGCUGGGCCUUAGGGUUGUUUUUUUUUUUGGUUGUUUGUUUUUUGCUUCUAUUUUUGCUUUAUUUUGCAUUUCCCCAUAAAUGUAUGUAAUUAAAAAAUAGAAUCCACUUGUUGAGAGUAAAGUAGUCAUCUCAUUCCACACUUCCUCCCACCACGGCACCACUAAUUUAUCGUGCAAUCCUAGCAUUUUUAUUCUUGCUGAGAUGUGGAUAACCUUUUUACAUUGAAAACUCCUUUGCAACCUUACAAGAAAAGCCAAUUAAUCAAUUAGAAUAUCAUUCUCGAAUUACAGUGGAAUUAUGUGUCCCCUCUGCUGAAAACCAUUGAAACUUGCGGUGCAUUACUUCAAUUAAGAAUACUUAAUUUCCAAAUGGCACAAAUGAGCAAAGCAUGAGUCAUAGCACACGGCUCUCCUUAAAAGCCAUCAGUGCUAAUGGUUUUGAAACCUGUAUAAACCUGAUACGUGCUUCAUUUAUAUGGCAAGCUAAAUCCACGUAAGGGUGUAAUAUUUCUGCUUAUGUACACAAGGCUUUAUGUGGUGCUCCCUGCAAUUGCACAAAAAUGUAGAUGGCUUUUUGCAUGCCCUGCUUCUUACGUGAGGUGUGGCGAGUAGAUAGGAUCGUGCUUCGCUAUCACCCCACACAAAGUGCACUUAGGCCGAUCGAUCGGAAUGCUUCAUAACAUUCGAAGUUAUGAUAAUCAGAGAUUAGGGGGAAACAGCAAAUUCCAGUGUCUGGAGAAGUAUUUUUCAUUGCUCCUGUAUCUCACUAUCCCAUCUGCCUGGCUUUAUUCCAGACUCUUCAUUUGACCCCUUUGCACUGCCAUCCAGCAUGAAUGAGUUUUGCUAGAAUGAGGGGUGUGGAAACCAGUUUCUCAAGCCUCCCAAAGCUCCAGGUUUUAUUCUUGUCUUGAGUUCUUUGUAUCCAGGCUGUUCAUUAGAAUCCUGGGAGAAGAUGACCCUGAGAUAGCAAUAAUGGUGCGUUCACCAUGGGGAGCCCACACCUGUUCCCUGCAAAGGACCCACAUGUUUCUUCUCUGGCCUACUUAUCUCCCCCAGUAUAGAAUACCACCUUUUACACUUCCUCGGCAAAUUGCUUUAGUGCAUUAGAUCGAUAGUACUAAAAUCUAAGUCCAUAUUAGACUUCAAUAUUAAUGUUUGUGUUAACCAUAAACACAAAAUACAAAUACUGAUGUUUAUGAAUUAGUGUUACUAAUAUUAAUUUUUGUGUUAACCAUGAACUUCUAUACUAAUUUCAAUACUAAUUAAAUACUAAUUUUUGUGUUAACCACAAAUGCAUUAUGAAGAACAGUAAGAGAAAAUAAGAGGAUAUGGAAAAUCAAUAUUAGUUCUAAAUGUUCUUAUUUUGUUCCCAACGUUUUGUAUCAAACUGUUUAUAGCAUAUGAUUUUUCCUCCCAAAGUACUGCCUUCAUGCUCUAGAAAAAUUUGCUUUCAAUUUUCAAUAAUCAAAUGGUAAAUUUUGUUUAAAUUAGCUUCUUUAAAAAUGAAAACACUUGAUUCUGGGAAGAUUUUUCCUAAUUGGCUAAAUAAAGACAAUUUUACUGAAAUAAAAACAUUCUGUUCUAUCAAAAGGUCUUAGGUUUGGGCAACAGGGAGCUAGUCCCCUGGGAACGUGGGACAAGUGCACAUCCUGAGCCCAUCCCAGAAACACUGAAGUCCAGUAAGGCUCUCACCUUGGUUCUGGACUUAGAAACAUCCUUGAGCUCACCACAGGCUGCAGCUUGCUCGUAGCCACUCUCCCCCAACUCAUUGAUGGCUCCAGCUGGGCACUGCUGCCUCCAAGUGACGCGAGGGCGGGGAGAGUUUCAGGAAGCAUGCACUUGGCCUGUUAACCAGCACUGGAAAGAGUAAGUCAUUGCUGAAAUGUAUUUACCAAGGUGGGACACUGGAUUUAUUUUAUUUAUUAGGUUUUUAAAAAAAAUCUUGUGGAACUUUUUUUUUUUUUUUUUU